GGGCCCGUGGGCUAGCUCGGAUAUACUUUAGGCCUCCGGAGUCUAAGACGUGGGUUCGAAUCCCACCGGGCCCG
rnacentral:tRNA from 1 species